GUGAAUCAUCAAAUUUUUGAACGCAAAUUGCACUCUCCUCGGAGAGUAUGCCUGUUUGAGGGUCAGCCUAAAAAAAAAAUCGACAUCGUUGCUGUUUCGCGGUGACGUUAGUCGGAAAUUGGGUCAUAUUAAACCUUUUGGUUUUUAAACGAUUUAAAAUUUUUUUUUGACCCUAUGAACGUUUCUAAGUUUUAUAUUUUUACACACUUAA
rnacentral:misc_RNA from 1 species